CAAAGAUGGAUGGAAUGAGUAAAUUAAUCAAAAAUAACAGAUUUCUUCGUAGGCACAGAAAUAAAUAUGGAAGUAUUUUUUGUGCUCCUUAAGUAUGAAUCGCAUAAAUAUGUAUAUACACCGUGUUUUUUUUUAUUUCCGUUAAUUUCAAGGGUGCAUUCCUGAGCUUAAUUUCAGUAACUUUCUCAAAGACACCGAUAUUCUAAUUAACUCGAUUUCGGAGAUAAUCAAUAAUUUAUUUUUUUCCUAUAAGGCCUCUACAAGCGUGUACACUUGCCUUAGGGCCGGUUUACAUAUUGAUUAGUGUUUAGAAUGAGUUCAUACAUUUGCUACUAAACUUAAGUACAAUCUCGGUCGAUCGAUGUUCGAAAUGACAUUGAUAUGUCACAGAUUUCAAUUGUUUGGUUGAGUUAAAUGUAAAGCCCGUGUUACAACAACGCUAUAUGCUACAUUUAAUUAGUUUUUA